rnacentral:rRNA from 1 species
UUUAGUGGCGGACGGGUGAGUAACACGUGAGCAACCUGCCUUCGAGAGGGGAAUAACGGCUGGAAACGGUCGCAAAUACCGCAUAACGUACGGAUGGGACAUCCUGUCUGUACCAAAGAUUUAUCGCUCGAAGAUGGGCUCGCGUCCGAUUAGGUAGUUGGUGAGGUAACGGCCCACCAAGCCGACGAUCGGUAGCCGGACUGAGAGGUUGAACGGCCACAUUGGGACUGAGACACGGCCCAGACUCCUACGGGAGGCAGCAG